rnacentral:ncRNA from 2 species
AAUUUAUAAUUUUUUACAGGUGCCAACUAUCUGUUGGAUAAUAGGGAACCGGGUGAUAUUCCCGGACGGACCCGCCACUGUAUUGGGGAGCAAUUGUCAUGACCACUCUUUUUGGAGGAAGGGACAAUGUUGCAAUGAACCUGAGUCAGGAGACCUGCCUGUAAGAUUUCGUUGUU